GGGGCCUUAGCUCACUUGGUAGAGCGUCUGAUUUGCACUCAGAAGGCAGGGAGUUCGAUCCUCCCAGGCUCCAC
rnacentral:tRNA from 2 species